AAAAUAAAAAAAAGUUACAUUUCAGGUGUUCUGUCACUUUUGACCACAAACAACACAUGUGUGACCCUCAAAUGAACAAAAAAAAGCAAUGUUGAAUAUGUAUUGACAAUAUCAGUGUGAUCUAAACUAUUUUUUGCUUUACAUUGUUUACAGAUAAACCUUUAAUCCAUUGAGAGAGACACUGAUGGAGUUCUUUCUUUUCACACACUGGACCCAAAAAACCCAUCAGAUAUCAAUCAGCCAAUUAGGUCUCUCCGUCACCUUCAGAUUCAAUAGGACACAGAUGCUGUGACUCCCUCCAUCUAUAUGUUUGUGUCAGAGAUGAAAGCGGAAGCAGGGAGGAAGCUGGGUGUGUCGGAGGUGUUCUGACACUAAUGUGGUACACUGGGCUUUACUUCCAGAACUGUGAAGUUACUCUGUCAAGCUUUAAAAGGUCCUCUAAAGCCUUUGAACAACUGUGCGUGACCUUUUUUUGCCUGCUUUAUUAAGCUUCAGGGGACGCAGAAGUUGCACAGUGUUGCUAACUUUCAUUGCACCGAUGCACUGAGGACACACUGUUUUUAUUAUUUUUUUAGGCUUCGGUUUUUGUUCAGAAUGCCUUGAUCUGACAUAUUUAUCUUUUUUUAAUGCAUUCUAUCCUGUCAUUAAGCCGCUUUGACUAAUGAUCCUUUGUUGUUUAGUUAAAUCACUCCUCAGUCCACUUAACCACUGCACAUACAAAGUGUGACCCACUUUAAUGUUUUAGCAGUUUUUCACAAGUUAAAUGUGUGGUGUAGACCUCUCCAGCUCUCCCAGGAAUAACUGUUGGAAUCGAUCGCUCAUUCGUUUUGUCUUUAUUCUUCCAAGUAGUGCAAUUCUAAUAAAUAACACAGACAAUUUAAACACAACUAAGUCUAUGCUUCAUACUAGAUAAAUGAAUUUGGACCUCACUGCUAGUAUAAGUUGCACUUGGAAUCUGCCACGUGAAUAAUGAAUACCCUGUAAAACAGAUGCGGUAUCCAAAGCUUUGAAUAUUCAGAAAGAUCCAGCCACUUCCGAAUUCAAGAGAACGCCAGAGUGUAACUUCCUCUUCGUUAGAACUGUGCGUCCCAAUCUCGGCCUUGUUGCAGGAAAUGUUCUGUAGGUUGUCAUAUUGCCAAAGCCUCCCUUGAUCUUUUUUGGAUGAUGACGGACUAAUCUUUGUGUUCGUUUCUUCAUUGAAACCGCUUUUGUUUUGGUUGUUCCCAAAUGGAUAAUUGUGAGCUUACCGCAUGGUCCAGGUGAUUCACUUCAAAGGAAAUUCACUUCACUCGACAUCAACCUGCCUGAUUUAUAGUUGAGAAAAGGGCUGUUGAGGGAAUAAACCUGCAGCUGGCAGGGGGCAUGUUCAGAAGACCUUGUAAACACAUUCACACCUCUGGUGCAUUUCAAUGCCGGAUGACUUAUAGCACAAUAUUGAAAAUUCGAGUUCGACAAGCACUUGCAUUUCAAUACUGUCUGAGAGGAAUCAACAAACUCCACCAAUAAAACCACCAUCAGCUUUGGGAAGUUAACAAACGAGCUGAAAUGAGGGUAAUCAGUGGAUGGAUGUUCAAAGCACACUUUGGAAAGUUUUUUCUUGUUUUUUAAAUAGUUAAAUUUGAUGUAAAAGUGCCAUUAACUAGUACAUCUUAGGGAUUCAAUUUACACCUCCACCUCAAACAAAUAAAUACAUAUUUAUGUGUAUCAAUGUUUUUUUUUUUUUUUUUUUUUCUUUUUAAAUGAGCAAGCUAUUUUGUUGUCAUGUGAUAUGAAAAUCAUUAAAUAAAGAGACAGUGUGUCAAGGUGAUUAAGCUAUUAAAGAUACCACACAUUUUGUCAUAUUUCACAUGAUUUAUUUAGGUCAAAUGGAGUAACCCUAAGAAAACCUAUUGAUAUUCAUGAAUAUUCAUUAUAAUAAAAAAAGAGUUUACCUUUAAGACAUAUUAGACUGGUUGAUGUACAGGUACUCAAAGUGCAAGCAAAGUAUUUUAGUACUUUUAUUUGAUGUUUGCACAACUUUUAGUCACUAAAUCUUUUUUUUUUUUUUUUUUUUUUUUU